UCAUUGCCGCGCUCUCUCCUCGGGAAUGCUGGGAAUGUUGAGUCAGGCGCUGGCCGGGCUGCGAGCUGGCCGAGGCUGAGAGCGGGCAAGGCAGGCAAGCAAGGCAGGCAGCCCGGGAGAGGAGCCUUCCCGCUGGGGACGGACUGCGGCGCCGUGGGUCGGUCUCCUCGGGCGCUGGCCUCCUCCCUCUCUCCCUCCCUCCCUGCGACGCCGCAAGCCGUGAUGGUGUAGGGCUCCAUGCGAGGAGGAAGAGGAAGAGGAGGAGGAGGAGGAAGAAGAAGAGGAAGGUGCAAGACGGUGGUGGGGAAGGUAUCUUCAGCAUGGAGAAGUUGCAAUAAAGAAUAGUUUGCCUUCUGGAAGAAUGCUGUGAAGCCAUUUGCCAACAAUAGCAACUGAAAUAGAGGCUAAAUAUCCCACUUAAGUGUGAUUAAUUUCUUAUUAAGUAGUACCUCAGAUUAUAGUAAAAAUGUACGGAAGUGCAAGAACAAUCAGUAACUUGGACGGCAGUCCUGCCAGAUCCCCUCGUUUGCCAAGAUCUCCUCGUUUGGGCCAUCGGCGAACAAGCAGUGGAGGAGGUGGAGGGACAGGUAAGACAUUAUCAAUGGAGAAUAUCCAGUCCCUUAAUGCCGCCUAUGCAACUUCUGGACCAAUGUAUCUGAGUGAUCAUGAAGGUGUGGCAUCCACUACUUACCCAAAGGGCACAAUGACUCUUGGAAGGGCUACGAGUCGAGCUGUGUAUGGCAGUCGAGUUACAGCUAUGGGCAGCAGUCCUAAUAUUGCUUCAGCUGGCCUUUCCCAUUCAGAUCUCCUUUCCUAUACCGACCAACACGGAGGACUAACCACUGCUUCCCAUCAUCACCAUCAUCAGAUCCCUUCUAUGCUCAGACAGGUAAGGGACAGUACCAUGCUAGAUAUGCAGGCCCAGCUUAAGGAAUUACAGAGAGAGAAUGACCUCCUAAGGAAAGAACUGGACAUCAAAGACAGCAAGCUUGGCUCUUCCAUGAACAGCAUCAAGACGUUCUGGAGUCCAGAACUCAAAAAGGAAAGAGUCUUGAGGAAAGAAGAAGCUGCCAGAAUGUCUGUUCUAAAAGAGCAGAUGAGGGUUUCUCACGAGGAGAACCAGUUUUGGGAUGCCAGGAAAACAAAGCAUCUUCAGCUAACUAUCCAGGCACUGCAAGAUGAGCUAAGGACUCAGAGAGACCUCAACCACCUUCUCCAACAAGAAAGUGGAAACAGAGGUGCUGAACACUUCACCAUCGAACUUACUGAAGAGAAUUUCCGAAGGCUUCAAGCUGAACAUGACAGGCAGGCAAAAGAGUUAUUUCUCUUGAGAAAAACCUUGGAAGAAAUGGAGCUGAGAAUUGAAACUCAGAAGCAGACGCUAAAUGCCAGGGAUGAAUCCAUCAAAAAGCUUUUAGAGAUGUUACAGAGCAAAGGGUUGCCAUCCAAAGGAAUGGAGGAUGACAAUGAACGAACUCGAAGGAUGGCUGAGGCCGAAUCUCAGGUUAAUCAUUUAGAAGUGAUUUUAGACCAGAAGGAGAAGGAAAACAUACAUCUGAGAGAGGAACUGCACAGAAGGACUCAACUACAGCCUGAGCCAGCCAAGACGAAAGCUCUUCAGACUGUCAUAGAGAUGAAGAAAGAACCAUCUUUAUGUAUUGAUCCAGCUGUGAUAUUUCAGGACACAAAAAUAGCUUCACUGGAACGUAAUAUCAGAGACCUUGAAGAUGAAAUACAGAUGUUGAAGACAAAUGGAGUUCUGAACACAGAAGACAGAGAAGAGGAAAUCAAACAAAUAGAAGUUUACAAGAGUCACUCGAAGUUCAUGAAAAAUAAGAUUGACCAGCUAAAGCAGGAAUUUUCAAAGAAAGAGUCAGAACUUCUUGCCUUACAAACAAAGCUUGAAACCCUUAGCAAUCAGAAUUCAGAUUGCAAGCAACACAUUGAAGUGCUUAAAGAGUCGCUUACUGCCAAAGAACAGAGAGCUGCCAUACUUCAGACAGAGGUUGAUGCCUUGAGAUUACGUCUAGAAGAGAAAGAAAGUUUUCUUAAUAAAAAAACCAAACAACUGCAAGACCUCACAGAAGAAAAGGGAACUCUGGCUGGAGAAAUCCGAGAUAUGAAAGAUAUGUUAGAAGUCAAAGAAAGAAAAAUUAAUGUUCUUCAAAAAAAGAUUGAAAACCUUCAAGAACAACUUAGAGAUAAAGACAAGCAAUUAACCAAUUUGAAAGAUCGUGUGAAAUCCUUGCAGACUGAUUCAAGUAACACAGACACUGCUCUAGCAACGUUGGAAGAAGCUCUCUCAGAGAAGGAGAGAAUUAUAGAGCGAUUAAAGGAGCAAAGGGAGAGAGAUGACCGUGAAAGGGUUGAAGAAAUUGAAUCCUUUAAAAAAGAAAACAAAGACUUGAAGGAAAAGGUGAAUGCUUUACAAGCAGAGCUAACAGAAAAAGAGUCUAGCUUAAUUGACCUCAAAGAACAUGCAUCAUCAUUGGCUUCUACAGGGCUGAAAAGAGACUCCAAGUUAAAGUCUUUAGAGAUAGCCAUAGAACAAAAGAAGGAGGAGUGUAGUAAGCUAGAAGCACAGCUGAAAAAGCAAGCUGAACAAUUGUUCAAUCAGAUGUACAAUCCAAUGCCAAUUAGGAAUAAUGGGAAACAAGGGGCUCAUGAAACUGAGGAAGAAGCACGAAUCAACCCUGACUUUGCUGACAGAAUGAAACAGCUUGACAAAGAGGCGGCAUACUAUAGAGAUGAAUGUGGCAAAGCUCAAGCUGAAGUUGACAGGCUUCUAGAAAUCCUCAAGGAAGUAGAAAAUGAAAAAAAUGACAAAGAUAAGAAAAUUGCUGAGCUAGAAAGCUUGACUUCCAGACAUAUGAAGGAUCAAAACAAGAAAGUGGCCAACCUGAAGCACAAUCAACAAAUGGAAAAGAAGAAGAAUGCCCAAUUGUUAGAAGAAGUCCGUAGACGUGAAGAUAAUAUGACAGAUAACUCUCAGCAUUUGCAGCUAGAAGAACUAAGGAAUGCACUGGAUAAGACCAGACAAGAACUGGAUGCCACCAAAGCACGCCUUGCCUCAACCCAACAGUCUUUGGGUGAAAAAGAAGCACAUCUGGCCAAUUUAAGAAUAGAACGGAGAAAACAGUUAGAAGAGAUCCUGGAGAUGAAACAGGAAGCACUGCUUGCUGCCAUCAGCGAAAAAGAUGCAAACAUUGCCUUGCUUGAACUGUCUGCGUCAAAGAAGAAGAAAACCCAAGAAGAAGUGAUGGCUUUGAAAAGAGAAAAAGACAGAUUAGUCCAUCAGUUAAAACAGCAGGUGUAUAGAAAUAGGAAACAGCCCCAGAGCAUGAACUAUCCUUCUAUUUGUGAUGCUGACUUCAUCACAGACAAUGGUGCCAAGUACCUGGGUUCCAGACAUGAUGUACCCAUGCCUCAGACACAGAAUAGGAUGAAGCUGAUGGCAGACAACUAUGAUGAUGACCAUCACCACUACCAUCACCAUCACCACCAUCAUCACCACAGAUCGCCUGGGAGGACCCAGCACUCCAAUCACCGACCCUCUCCAGAACAGAUGAUCCAGUCACUGUUGGAGGCACAUGGCCACGGCAAAAUCCCAUGCUGUACAUUGAUCACCUGUCCAACCUUCGCCUAGAGUGUGAUCCCCAGUUCCUUCAAGAGAUCCAACUUUACUUGUCUAUAACGAAGAGGAAGAGGAGGAGGGAGACAUCUGGGAUAACCAAGCAUCAGAGCAUUAACACCAGAGCAGUUAUCAGAGAAGCUGGAGAAAGAAGUAAACAAUAUGCAGCACUGCAUGAUGAAUUGGCAAGAAAAAUGACUGAAGGAGGAGGAAGGAAGAAGGGGGAGGAGGAGGAAGAAGAUCAGCAAUGGGACCCUGAAUGUAAUCACCACUCUCUCCCAAAAAGUCCACAGAAGUGGAUAGGGCACACAAAGGUUGCCAUCAAAUAAUAUGCUGCAUAAGCAGGUGUCUUCUCCAUUGUUUCUUGUAAUCUAUUACGAAGUCAGAUACUUUGGAAAACAAUUAAGGGGACUUCAUCAGGAAUGAGAAGAACUUCCAUUACUUUUAAUGGGGUCAUAUGAAUUGUUCCUUUUUUCCAGCUGAGCAUUAUUCAAUGAAGUUCAUUGAAACAGUUCAUUGACAGAUUUGUAUUAAUUUUUAAUAUGCAAUUGAGGUUCCAUUAGCUUGCAGUGUCACCAUCUGCUGAUUAUGGUUAGUUUCUUCUAAAGUAUCACUUCUAAUGCAUUAGAUUAUUACAGGACUAGAAAGCUGUUACAUAAUGAUGUCAGCAUUAAUCAUGUCCACAAUAAUGUGGGCUUUUCAGGGUAAUAAUAUGUCUUUGCCCUCCUCUGUUUCUUAUCUUAUUCAGACCAUUUUGAUUAUGUAACCACCAGUACUAAGCUCUGGGCCAGGUUGGAAAUGAAAUCAAUUUUUGGUACUAACAUCUGUUGGCAUAUGACAAUAUGGUGUGUGUCUCUGACAAUGCAUGGGGCAUCUAAUAGUACAAUCCUAUACAUAUCUACUUAGACCUAAGUUCCAGUGAGUUUAAUGGUACUUAUUCUUAGCUUGGUGUGUAUAGGAUUGCAGUCUAAAUUGGCUAGAAAUUAUUUAUAUGCAGUGGUUGAUGUCUGUCUGGAUGAUAAAAGCUUGAAGUAAGCAUGUGUACAUGUAUCUGUGUACAUAUUAUACAAACAUCUAUGAGGAUGUAUCAAACUUUUAUUGUCCAAAUGCACAACAGUACUUCAUAGGAAAGCUGGGACUCUUAAUUUUUUAAUUAAAAAAAAGAAUGUUGUGAUUAUUUGAUAUAUGCAUUAGGUCUCCUUUUUGAGAAGGGACCAUACGUUGUUGUUUUCUUAACAGGGCAACAAUGCUUACUAUACUUUAUACUGUAUUUUAAAUGUUAAACAAAAUAAAGUGUCAAUGAAUAAGGAGAUAAUUGAAGGUUAUCUCCAUGAUGAAACAAAUGAUAAUAAACACGAACAAGUAAAAGCACAUGCCAGAAGGGAAAUGCUUGGAGUGGGGAAAGGCUGAAGCUGUUCGGUGUAGGGACAGAGUAUUAUUGAUGAUUAAAUGUCUGUUGUUUCCCAAAGCAAAGGUCCCCCCCUUUAAUAAGCAUUUCCAUUCAAUCUGGCAUAUGUAUGCAUGUAAGGGUUCAAUUCUUUCACUGACACAUCUUUUUGCCAGUGGAAGGGGCUCUUUGAGGUUCAUAUAAAUGGAUAUUGACUAUCUGCAAUUCUAAUAAAAUAAAAAUAGAAAAUGAAACAACAUAGGAAAUCACCAACCCCUUCUGCUGUGAAAUGUCCAUUUAUUUUAAUAAGAUACAUGCUGGGCUUUGCUGAAAUAAAUGGAUGUCAUGCAGCAGUACUGUGGAGUGGGCUGCCUCCCCAUGGAAUUAAACAUGUGUGGCCUUAAAUCUUAGUAUCUUUCUUUUCUUUUUCUUUGCUGCUGUGAGAAAAAAAAUCUGAACAGGAUAUUCCUAACAAUCUUGCACUGAAUUUAGAAACAAAAUAUUGUUAUUGCUUUUGAGAGGUUAGUGCAAUUAAUCCUGAUCAUCUUUUAUGAGCCAUACAUAUUAACCCUCCUGGAAAAUAUGAUUUUUGUAGAAAACAAUAAUUUCUUUGUUGAGUACACCGUCAUCGUUGAUGAAAGUAAAGAUCCACUGGAAGCAAGCAGAAUUUUCGUUAGGAAUUGAAUACCUGAAAUAACAAAUCUGUAUAGAAUCUAUGUAACAUAGAUAUCAUUCAUAUUCAUGUUAUGCUUUAAAAGUUUGUCCUUUAUCAAUGAAAUUUUAAACUUUUGGUUUUUUUUCAUUUGUUUAAAAAGCAAAGCUCCUGGAAAUUUAUUUAGCACAUAUGACAAAUGUUGCACUUGCGAACUUGGACAACAAACUUGUAUUUCUUGGGACAAAGUUGUUGUCCUAGUAAGAGACAACUGUCUGGGCACAAUCCUCAAGGGAGUUCUUCGGCACAAGCGCCAUUGAAGCGAAAGGGACGAGAGGUAGGUUAGGAGGAGAGGUGGACAACUUCUCUGUCAACCCUAUAGGGCUUGGGCAAGGAAGCUUUGCAGAAGAUCAUGCCUUCUGUGUCUCUUACAGUCAGGUCUUUACCUUAAUUCUGCAACUGAAUACUUGAAGUAGGAAAUAAACUAGGAAAACAUAGGGUCUUUACAAAUCAAAACUGUAUAGCUAGAUAUUUAUAUGUGUGUGCCAAUUUUGUCACAGAUAUUAUUUUGGGGGCAUUUUUUAUUUGCUCCACUCAUAUUGGUAAGAGUAUUGAUCCUGACUUUUAUCAAGGCCUAAGACUUAGCCUGUAUAGAAGAAAAUUUUAUCUAACAUUACAUUGUUUCCCUCUUCCUCUUUUUGUUUUACAUGAUAUUCUGUAAUAUUUAGGGCAGAAUUUUUUUCAUACCGUGAAAUAGAAUCUCUGGGUUUACAACAAACACUGUGAUGUCGGGCAAACAUUUUACUCAAGCAAUGUUUGGUAGAUUUCUCCUCCCCUUUCAGUGUAAAAAAAAGAGAACUCAAACAACAAUUUUUGGUUAACAUUUAAGAUGAGUAUUAUUUUACUGUGAAAUUAUGCUUGUACUGCACAUUCUUUCAUUUCAAUGUACAAAUGGAAUUUUGUAUUUAAAUGACUUUUGUGUAUCUAGUAUGCACGUAAAUGCACAUUGACUUUCAUUUGAAAGUGGGUUUUGAUUUCCUUUUUAAACAGUGUUUAUGAAAAGACUACUGAUGUGUCACAACCUAUAUCUGCAUUUUCCUUUGGUGUAGAGUGAUUGUUUGAAUGUGAUGUUCUGCAGCAAUGGGUCAGUAUUCCCUAUUUACCUUUGACCCUUAUUUGAUAGUGCUUCUUGUAAUAAUUUUCUUCAAGUGAGUGGCAUGUUCUGGAUUGUGAUCUCGACAUAUGGUUAAGGACAUUGAUAUGAAAAACUAAGGAAUCCUUAGGAAUUACCAGUGGGCAUGUUUAGAGCAGUCAUUGUACUUUUAAUGUCUUGUAGAAGUGUUAAGUACCAAGGUAUUUAGAGUUCAUAACAUUGUUAUCAUGUGUAUGAGAAGUGCUCGGUGUUGAUCAGCUCGUUUAUAUUCAUCAAAUAAAUCUGGUUUCUUUCUGAA